UCUCUCUCUGUCAGUAGUUGCACAGGUCUUCAAGGGUAUUUUUACGGUUUUAGUGACAGAUUAACAACAUUUCUACAUUAAUAACAGGAGAAACACCAUUGAAAACCCUGAUAAUCAUCUUUAUAGCUUUGAAAAACAGUCGUGAAGAGAAAGAGAGAGAGAGAGAUAGAGAGUAGGAGCAUUUCAGUUGAGCCUAUUCUGCCCUGGUUCGUGUUUGCUGCGGUGACACGGUGCCGCACUGAGUGAAGAUUGCGUUCAUAAUCACUUAUCGGGGGUGGAGUGGGGAAAGGAGAGUCAGGAAGUGAGGAUAUUUAUAUUAUUUGACAUAUUAUUUGAUAGCAUGUCAACUUUUGUGUGUGUGUAUGUGUGUGUGUGGGUAGGUGUUGGAUCAGUGACAGGUGGCGCUGGGGAGUUACCACGGCGAGCGGCUGGCUGGCUGCAGUGUUUUGGUCAGCACUGGUCAAUCUUGCCCUACACGCUCUAGUAACCAGUGUUUCCGUCUUCCCGACACCUUCUUCCUGCACCAAGCACCGUCAAGCAUCACCAGAGAGGCACGAGUACGUAAGCUAUCCAACAUCAGAACAGUAUAUGAAUAUGACAAAUGCUGUUUUGACAUCAUUUCCUGCCAUCCUGAGAAACAGUGAUCUCGAGGAGCAUGAAUUGCAGCUGCAAUGGAAAUUGCGCAUCCAGCGCAAGUUUCAGAAUUCAAGAAAGAGGCAGGAUUCCUCAGUGACUGAGGUGACGUGAAGGAAAAAGAAGAUCCCUUGCAUAGCGCCAAAAGAGACUACGUGCCCCACUGAUGUAUGGAGUAAAGGCUUACCUUCCACCAAGGCCCCAUUCAGAAGAUGAUGAGUCAUUAGAGAGACAUAGACAGUGGCUUGCUCUACACUGGAUGAAGAAAGAUCCCGAGUUAGAUAAGAUAAUCAAGGAAUUCCUGAGAUUAGAACCACAAGCGGAUGAACCAGACCCAAGAGUAGCAGUUUUGAAAGGUCUGGAGAAAUAUAGGCUCCCAAUAAUGGCCAUUCUCAAAAAAAGAAAAGCAGUUCCUCUGUAUAUGGAAACCUUACUUGAACUAUAUGACCACGAUGAAAGUCAAUAUGCUUGCUUAGUUAUAUUGGGGUUACUUCACCUGCUUGGAGAAAGGAAAGACUCCAUUUUUACUAAGGUACCAGAAGAAGAACUAAGAACAAGGCAGUCUAGUGUGUAUUUGAUGGUGCACCUGUAGCUGAACCAACAUGUAUUUCUAUGGCUGUAGUCUCAUUGCUAGCAGGGCUUUGUGUUUAAUAUUGAACACCCAAAAAAUUGUGAACAUUUCCUCCGUUUCACAACAUCCCAUCUCUUAGGUAUCAAGUAUGACAAAGGUAACACUUCAAAAACAAGAUCUCUACUUGUAAAACUCAAUGAAGUAAAGACAGAAUUGAGCUACAAAAAUGCAUAAAUCUGCUUCCAAAUAUAUUCAACUCCACACAUAAUGCCUCUCUCUCUCUCUCUCUCUCUCUCUCUCUCUCUCUCUCUCUCUCUCUCUCUCUCUCUCUCUCUCUCU